AGAGUUUGAUCCUGGCUCAGAGUGAACGCUGGCGGCAGGCCUAACACAUGCAAGUCGAGCGGCAGCGCGGGGGCAACCCUGGCGGCGAGCGGCGGACGGGUGAGGAAUUCGUCGGAAUCUGCCUUUUUGUGGGGGAUAACGUAGGGAAACUUACGCUAAUACCGCAUACGACCUACGGGUGAAAGUGGGGGACCUUCGGGCCUCACGCAGAAAGAUGAGCCGACGACCGAUUAGCUAGUUGGUGGGGUAAAGGCCCACCAAGGCGACGAUCGGUAGCUGGUCUGAGAGGAUGAUCAGCCACACUGGGACUGAGACACGGCCCAGACUCCUACGGGAGGCAGCAGUGGGGAAUAUUGGACAAUGGGGGCAACCCUGAUCCAGCCAUGCCGCGUGUGUGAAGAAGGCCUUCGGGUUGUAAAGCACUUUUGUCCGGAAAGAAAUCUUCCAGUUUAAUACGCUGGGAGGAUGACGGUACCGGAAGAAUAAGCACCGGCUAACUUCGUGCCAGCCGCCGCGGUAAUNC
rnacentral:rRNA from 1 species